ACGAUUCCAGCUCGCGCCUCUCCCUCCACACCUGCAUGCAAGCUGAGGGAGCUGGCUCCGGCCUUGGCCAGCCCAGAAAGGGGCUCCCACAGUGCAGCGGUGGGCUGAAGGCCUCCUCAAGUGCCGCCAAAGUGGGAGCCCAGGCAGAGGAGGCGCCGAGAGAGAGCGAGGGCUGUGAGGACUGCCAGCAGGCUGUCACCUCUCACUUCUGGGCUACAAACAUGGACAGCAUGUACUGAGGACUGGAGGCAACUGUAAUGCAACGGUAAGAGUUUUGUAGCUAAACCUAUCUAAACAUAGAAAAGAUACAGUAAAAAUAUGGCAUAAAAGAUUUAAAAAUGGUAUACUUGCAUAGGGGACACAUCAUAAAUGGACUAAAAGUUGCCCUGGGUGAGUGCGUGAACGGUGAGUGAAUGUGAAGUCCGAGGACAUUACUGUAUACUACAAUAGAUUUUAUAAAUUGUAAACUUAGACUACACGAAAUUUAUAAAGAAAUUUUCUUUCUUCAAUCAUAAUGAACCUUAGCUUAUCAUAACUUUCUUACUUUAUAAACCUUUUAAUUUUUAGAACAUUUUGACUCUGGUAAUAAUAACACAAAUGCAUUGUAUAGCUGUAAAAAUAUUUUCUUUCUUUAUAUUCUUAUUCUAUAAACUUUUCUAUCUAAAAUUUUAUUUAUUUAUUUUACUUUUUGUUAAAGGCUAAAACACAAAUACAUUAGUGUAGGCCUACACAGGAUCAGGAUCACCAAUAUCACUGUCUUCUACCUCCACAUCUUGUCCAAAUGGAAGGUCUUCAGGGGCAAUAGCAUCACGGAGCUGUCAUCUCCUGUGAUCAAAAUGCCUUCUUCUGGAAGACCUCCUGAAGGAGCUACUUGAGGCUGUUUUACAGUUAUCAUUUUUGUUGUUAUAAACAGAUAAUUACACUAUAAAAUAAUGAACAAAAGUCACUGCAGUAGGUUUGUUUAUACCAGCCUUCCUACAAACAUGUGAAUUAUGCACUGUGUUGUGACUUGUAACAGCUAUGCUGUUACUAGGUGAUAGAAACUUUUCAGCUUCAUUAUAAUCUUAUGGGACCACUGUCAAAUAUGCAGUUGGCAGAAAUACCCUUAUGUGGAACAUGACUGUUCUGAAAAGGACUGUUAUGAAAAGGAAAAACAAAUGUACUUUUAGCCUCGGAAGCCUACUAGGUAUGAUGAGCAUAACAAGAUCCCUGAGUUGAGAUUUCUGUUGUAGAAAGCUGCUUCAAAUAAGCCUUCGUGAGAACUCAAAGGUUUGCGACUAUGACUAUCAAAAAGCCACAAUUUGCAUUGCCCAGACCACAGCUUAUAUCUUACUGAAAACAUAAACAUGAAACUAAAUAUGAACCAUGUGGCCUAGAUUUUUAGCUAUCAAUACUUUUCUUUCUUUUUCCCCCACUUUGUACAAAGAAUACUUUGAUUUCUUCCAUCACAUUUCUUUUUCUUUGCAACUUGCAUCAAACACAGGCACCAUGCACAUGUACUUUGUUUGGGAUCCAGUGUUCCUCUCUUUACAAGUCAAUCCCUGAGGAUAGAUAGGGAGCAGCCAGUUGCUGAGCGCGAGAGCUUUCUUUUUCCCUAUGAAGUUCACUAAGAAGUACCCAAGGGGCUGUCUGCAGUUCAUUAUUACCGGAUAGGGCCUGAGCGGUGACCUUUCACUUCUGACCUGUGGAUCUAACUCUAGCAUUGUUUUUAGUGAGCAUGCUCACUAAAAACUUGGGGAUCAUCUGUAUCAAUGGAUAUCCUCAGAAGUUUUUAUUUUCUCUUUCUGUCAAACAAGCAAGUGAUAAUCUUGAUGUCUUAUGAAAGUCUUUGUACCAGUGUUUAUCAUUAAAAUAGCUAUGUCUAAAAUCCUGUGGGCUUACAUAGAAAAUAACUAAGUGUAGCCAAACACAUAUCAGGCAUUCCAGGUUCAAAUCCUAGCUAGGUGAGUUGGGGCAAGUUGUUCACUGGGCUACAGUUUCUUUGGCUACAAAGAGACGUGGUUGCCAAAGUCUGUCCAUCUCUAAUGUUGGAUAACAUCAACUAUGUGCAAAUUGUAAAUUUAGAAUUCUGCAAAAAUCCUAAAUUGCGUAGUUUGAGUGCUUAUUAUAUGGUUAAGGGAUUUUAAGACAGUCAUUUAACAAACAUCAAUUGCCCUCAUCCCAUGCACCGGGCAGACUUAUAGGUGCUAGAAUAGGACAUAGAGCAAGACAGACAUGAUUCGUACAAUCCCUGGACAAAUGUGCUGGUGGUAAAACUGGCCUGAGGUCCCACCAUGAUUAAGUAAUAAAGCCAGUUUUGAACUCAGGUCUGUAGGAUUACAACAUGCUUGUUCUUAUUCCCUAAGCUUUAUUGUCUCCUGACAUUGAAAGACCAAGGCUUUACGUCCCUGGCUUUGUCUUACAGGGACACAAAUGUGGUGGUGAUGGCUAGGAGGGCCUUUUCAUUCUUGAAGUUUAGCCCAAUAGGAAUUCAAUAUAUUCAUUGAAAAAGCAUCUAUUGACUGUCACCAUAAUUCUGGGAAUAUGGGAAAUUGUAGCAUGACACUGUAUUUCUAUUUAUACCUUCCUCAUAUCAGUGCAGAGUUAAUAUUGAGCCCUAUUUUCCCAACAUUUAUGCUACUUCCCCUGUACUUUACCUCUGUAAUAGGUCUGCUAUCAAGAUAAGUGAGGACAUUACAAAUUCUCCUGAAAGAAUGGACUCUAUAAAAUUAAGUAUUUCUUCUACUUAGUGUCAGAUCAGUGUGUUCUUCAGCAAAGACGUCACACUCAGAAUAAAAACCAACAACAAAAACAACAAGUGAACAGAACUUAGCAUUAUAAUUUACUAGCCUUUUGGAUUUGGCUCACACAACUUAUCUGAUUCCCUAUCACAGAAUUUUGUCUGUAUGUACCUAAAAUAAGACAUAAUCUGUUAAGUGCCUAGCAUAGUGUCUGAAGCUAUUAAAGGUAUUCAGUAAAUAUUCGUUCCCUUCUUUCUCUAGAAGGGAAGGGCACGCUGUAUUGGCAGCCUGCCCUCAGCCACCUGGAGGCUUACCACAAAAAGAGCUGAGCUGAGGCCUUCAGCCUUAGGCAACAGCUAGGUAAGUUAAAGAUAGUUUCACUUCAGGAUGUGAUUUCUAUACAUUUAUUCACAUUUUUAUACCAUACCCAUUUUAUAGAUGGAGAAAAUGAAGGAACAAAGAAACUUAGUUUACCUGGCAUCAUCCUGGUUAGGGCUAGAAAAAUUAAGCCCUACAGUAAUGAAUUCGAUGAAAGGUGUUUGUAGCCAUCUCUGCUGUUCUCUUCAUCAUAGGCAGAUAUGUACCAAAGGGAAAAUGUGUUUAUCGUGAGCUUUCCAUCCCUUUCUCUGAUGUCACUGUAGAAUAUAGCCAGCAGGAUAUGGAUAGUUCCUCAGAAUGUGGUACUAACAGGGCAGGGACAACUAUCUCUUUCUUUGAUCAGAGGUCAAAGGGCUGGUGUGCUAUCUAUGAUCUGGAUACCAAAGAAACGACCAAGGUAAAUGCACUAUGUACAGGCUAGGGAACUUUUGAUUCCUCUCCACACUAUUGGCAAGAAUGGCUUACAUUGUGAAAAUAGGACAUUUGCUGAAAAGUGGCUUGAUACAUCCCAAAUUAAGACACAGUAGAGCUGGAGUGAGAACAUUUGUUUCUCCAUUAAUGAUCCUAGAUUAUCUUAAAACCAAAAUAUUAUAUGUUUAACAAAUUUCAGUGUACCAGACACUUGCCUUUAAAUUACUUCCUUUAUUCAUCUGAACAGUCUUGUCAAGUAAGACAGGCGUUAGCACAUUUUACUGAUGAGAAAACAGAGUCUUUGAAGCUCAGUUAACUUGCCCCAAGUUGCUCAGUUGGUUAAGAAGUGAGCUAAGUAUUAUGAACCUUCUCUUAGCCAUGAGUUACCUAAUUUCAGAUGACUUAAGCAACAUGUCCGUGAAGCUUGUCCUUAGGAUCACAAGUCCAGUGCCUUUGCAGCAGUGGACGAGGGUUAAACUCUCAAGGGUUUCCAAAAUUAACCUGUGGCCACAUGUUGAAGUCUGGUGGGAUGAGCUGAGUCAGUGCUCCAUCGGCUUUACUCUGCGCCCCUUGUUCCUUAAGGCCAAGAGAGGAUGUCCCCUCCAGUCUGUGCCUUUCGGUGUCUUGAGUCUGGUGGCUUCCUUGCAGUUGCCAUGACAACUGUGGUUACAUAAUCACUCCCUUCACCCUCAGGCACCCGUUAACUUCUGACCUUCCCUGAGGAUUUGCUCCAUGGGUAACCUGCUGUCCAGACAGCCUGUUUAUGGGAGGACAACCCCACAUUGUUUGUGUCAUGAACUGCCAGCCAUUUUCCAUCUUCCCCCACUUCUCAUCUGUCAUUUGGGCUUGUGUCAAAAGGAGGGUCAAUUAACUUCCUACAGAGAUGUUAACAUGGCAGACACAAAUUGAUUUACUUGCUUUAGCCUGGCCAGUUUUUGCCAUGAGUAUCCCAGGUAGAAGGGAUAGUCGCGCCUGGAGACUAGAUGUCGAUCGAUUGCUCUUUUAUUUUGGAAGAAAUACAACGUAAAUAGUAGAUGUGGGCAGAUGGAAAUUUGUCUGAUAGAUUGGUGCCAUCCAAAGCCUGAAGGGAUUGCUUCCUCCUUAUGGUAUUUCUGCUUUACAGCAUCAACCUCCACUUCUCCAUGCCAUCAUAUUUCUUUGUCAGAGAGCACCUGCUCUAUCUUGGUUACUGUUAUCCUUGCUAUUUAUCUAAUGGCUCCAUCCAGAAACAAAUUGUCAUCCUCAUCAACCUUCUUUAAUAAACUAUCCUUUUAUCAACCUCCUCACAAUCUAAAUGGCCAUUACAUAAUGUUGAUUCUACCUCUGAAAUAGUCUCUCUUCUAUACCUUCUGCUACCUCCUUUUCCACUUAGCCACACUUCAGGCUACCAUCUCCUCUCCAGUGAUCAUUGCCAUCACCUUCUACCAGGCCCUGAAGUCUGAACUUCUCCAAUCAAUUCGCCAGCCUAGUCUUGAUUGGAGGGCAGGGUUAAUCAUAUUACUUCUCUGCUUAAAAGCCUCAAUGAAUCUGCUGCCUACAGAAUGAAGUCCCAAGCAGGCCAGAUGUGAUGGCUCAUGCCCAUAAUCCGAGCACUUUGGGAGGCAAAGCGGAGUAGAUGGCUUGAGCCCUGGAGUUCAAGACUGGCCUGGACAACAAAGUGAUAUCCUGUCUAUAUAAAAAACAAACAAACAGCAUGAAGUCCCAACAUUUAUGCAUUUCUUAUAAGGCUCUUUAUUGUGGGGAAAGGACUCCCUAUUCAGCAAAUGGUAUUGGGAUAACUGGCUGCCAUUUGCAGAAGAACAAAACUGGGCUCCUACUUUCACCACAUGCAAAAAUUAACUCAAGGUGGAUUAAAGAUUUAAAUGCAAGACUUCAAAUUAUAAGAAUCCUAGAAGAAAACCUACGAAACACUAUUCUGGACCUUGGCCUUGGGAAAGAAUUUACGAUUUAGUCCUUAAAACCAAUUACAACAAAAACAGAAUAUGACAAAUAGGGCCUAAUUAAACUAAAGAGCUUUGCACAGAGAGAAAAUAAACUAUCAACAAAGUAAACAGACAACCUACAGAAUGAGCACAAAUAUUUGUAAACUAGGCAUUGGAAAAGGGUGUUCAGAAUCUAUAAGGAGCUUAAAUAACUGAACAAGCAAAAAAUAAAUAAGCCCAUUAAAAAUGGACAAAAGACACGAACAGACACUUCUCAAAAGAAAACAUAACGUGCGGCCAA
rnacentral:lncRNA from 1 species